GCAUAUCAAUAAGCGGAGGAAAAGAAACCAACAGGGAUUGCCCUAGUAACGGCGAGUGAAGCGGCAACAGCUCAAAUUUGAAAUCUGGCGCAAGCCCGAGUUGUAAUUUGUAGAGGAUGCUUCUAGGUAGCGACCGGUCUAAGUUCCUUGGAACAGGACGUCAUAGAGGGUGAGAAUCCCGUAUGUGACCGGCCCGCACCUUCUACGUAGCUCCUUCGACGAGUCGAGUUGUUUGGGAAUGCAGCUCUAAAUGGGAGGUAAAUUUCUUCUAAAGCUAAAUACCGGCCAGAGACCGAUAGCGCACAAGUAGAGUGAUCGAAAGAUGAAAAGCACUUUGGAAAGAGAGUUAAAAAGCACGUGAAAUUGUUGAAAGGGAAGCGCUUACAACCAGACUUCUGGGCGGUGUUCCGCCGGUCUUUUGACCGGUCUACUCGCCGUCCCGAGGCCAACAUCAUCUCGGACCGCCGGAUAAGACCUCAGGAAUGUAGCUCCCCUCGGGGAGUGUUAUAGCCUGUGGUGAUGCGGCGCGUCUGGGGUGAGGUCCGCGCUUCGGCAAGGAUGUUGGCGUAAUGGUUGUCAGCGGCCCGUCUUGAAACACGGACCAAGGAGUCUAACAUCUAUGCGAGUGUUCGGGUGUCAAACCCCUACGCGUAAUGAAAGUGAACGGAGGUGGGAAGGGUAACCUGCACCAUCGACCGAUCCUGAUGUCCUCGGAUGGAUUUGAGUAAGAGCAUAGCUGUUGGGACCCGAAAGAUGGUGAACUAUGCCUGAAUAGGGUGAAGCCAGAGGAAACUCUGGUGGAGGCUCGCAGCGGUUCUGACGUGCAAAUCGAUCGUCAAAUUUGGGUAUAGGGGCGAAAGACUAAUCGAACCAUCUAGUAGCUGGGUUCCUGCGA
rnacentral:rRNA from 1 species